AGAGGCGGAGGGCUCGGCUGGCUGCUCCAGUCUGCGCCGUCCAUGCGUCUCGGGUGUCCUAUCCCGGAGGAUACAUUUUUCUUUUUCAGAAAAGGGAAACAGGAAAACGGGGACGAUUAGACUCUAUCUAGGGGAGCCAUGUGGAAAAACCAGCUUCAGGCAUCAGACAACAUCCAAGGGGCUGCACUGUUUUUUUGUUUUUUU
rnacentral:lncRNA from 10 species